rnacentral:tRNA from 1 species
GGCGAAACUGGCAGACGCGGCGGACUUAAAAUCCGCUGUCCCUCUGGGGCGUGCAGGUUCGAGUCCUGCC